rnacentral:rRNA from 1 species
UAAGAAGGGGGCUAGCGUUGCUCGGAAUUACUGGGCGUAAAGCGCACGUAGGCGGAUUGUUAAGUCGGGGGUGAAAUCCUGGAGCUCAACUCCAGAACUGCCUUCGAUACUGGCGAUCUCGAGUUCGGGAGAGGUGAGUGGAACUGCGAGUGUAGAGGUGAAAUUCGUAGAUAUUCGCAAGAACACCAGUGGCGAAGGCGGCUCACUGGCCCGAUACUGACGCUGAGGUGCGAAAGCGUGGGGAGCGAACAGG